AAUCUUGGACAAUGGGGGCAACCCUGAUCCAGCCAUGCCGCGUGAGUGAUGAAGGCCUUAGGGUCGUAAAGCUCUUUCGCCAGGGAUGAUAAUGACAGUACCUGGUAAAGAAACCCCGGCUAACUCCGUGCCAGCAGCCGCGGUAAUACGGAGGGGGUUAGCGUUGUUCGGAAUUACUGGGCGUAAAGCGCGCGUAGGCGGACUGGAAAGUUGGGGGUGAAAUCCCAGGGCUCAACCCUGGAACUGCCUCCAAAACUAUCAGUCUAGAGUUCGAGAGAGGUGAGUGGAAUUCCGAGUGUAGAGGUGAAAUUCGUAGAUAUUCGGAGGAACACCAGUGGCGAAGGCGGCUCACUGGCUCGAUACUGACGCUGAGGUGCGAAAGUGUGGGGAGCAAACAGGAUUAGAUACCCUGGUAGUCCACACCGUA
rnacentral:rRNA from 1 species